rnacentral:rRNA from 1 species
GUACGUAGGGGGCAAGGCGGUUGUCCGGAUUUAUUUGGGCGUAAAGAGCGUGUAGGCGGCCAGGUAGGUCCGCUGUGAAAACUCGAGGCUCAACCAUCGAGAUGUCGGCGGAAACCAUCUGGCUAGAGUCCGGAAGAGGAGAGUGGAAUUCCUGGUGUAGCGGUGAAAUGCGCAGAUAUCAGGAAGAACACCCGUGGCGAAGGCGGCUCUCUGGGACGGUACUGACGCUGAGACGCGAAAGCGUGGGAGCAAACAGG